rnacentral:rRNA from 1 species
GAUGAACGCUGGCGGCGUGCCUAAUACAUGCAAGUCGAACGCGCAGCGAAAGGUGCUUGCACCUUUCAAGCGAGUGGCGAACGGGUGAGUAACACGUGGAUAACCUGCCUCAAGGCUGGGGAUAACAUUUGGAAACAGAUGCUAAUACCGAAUAAAACUUAGUAUCGCAUGAUACAAAGUUAAAAGGCGAUACGGCGUCACCUAGAGAUGGAUCCGAGGUGCAUUAGGUAGUUGGGGGGGUAAAGGCUUACGAAGACGAUGAUGCAUAGCCGGGUUGAGCGACUGAGCGGCCACAUUGGGACUGAGACACGGCCCAAACUCCUACGGGAGGCAGCAGUAGGGAAUCUUCCACAAUGGGCGCAAGCCUGAUGGAGCAACGCCGCGUGUGUGAUGAAGGAUUUCGGGUCGUAAAGCACUGUUGUAUGGGAAGAAAUGCUAAAAUAGGGAAUGAUUUUAGUUUGACGGUACCAUACCAGAAAGGGACGGCUAAAUACGUGCCAGCAGCCGCGGUAA